UUAAGUUAUUAAGGGCGCACGGUGGAUGCCUUGGCACUAGAAGCCGAUGAAGGACGUUACUAACGACGAUAUGCUUUGGGGAGCUGUAAGUAAGCUUUGAUCCAGAGAUUUCCGAAUGGGGAAACCCAGCAUGAGUUAUGUCAUGUUAUCGAUAUGUGAAUACAUAGCAUAUCAGAAGGCACACCCGGAGAACUGAAACAUCUUAGUACCCGGAGGAAGAGAAAGAAAAUUCGAUUCCCUUAGUAGCGGCGAGCGAAACGGGAAGAGCCCAAACCAACAAGCUUGCUUGUUGGGGUUGUAGGACACUCUNNNNNNNNNNNUACGGAGUUACAAAGGACGACAUUAGACGAAUCAUCUGGAAAGAUGAAUCAAAGAAGGUAAUAAUCCUGUAGUCGAAAAUGUUGUCUCUCUUGAGUGGAUCCUGAGUACGACGGAGCACGUGAAAUUCCGUCGGAAUCUGGGAGGACCAUCUCCUAAGGCUAAAUACUCUCUAGUGACCGAUAGUGAACCAGUACCGUGAGGGAAAGGUGAAAAGCACCCCGGAAGGGGAGUGAAAUAGAACCUGAAACCGUGUGCUUACAAGUAGUCAGAGCCCGUUAAUGGGUGAUGGCGUGCCUUUUGUAGAAUGAACCGGCGAGUUACGAUUUGAUGCAAGGUUAAGCAGUAAAUGUGGAGCCGUAGCGAAAGCGAGUCUGAAUAGGGCGUUUAGUAUUUGGUCGUAGACCCGAAACCAGGUGAUCUACCCUUGGUCAGGUUGAAGUUCAGGUAACACUGAAUGGAGGACCGAACCGACUUACGUUGAAAAGUGAGCGGAUGAACUGAGGGUAGCGGAGAAAUUCCAAUCGAACCUGGAGAUAGCUGGUUCUCUCCGAAAUAGCUUUAGGGCUAGCCUCAAGUGAUGAUUAUUGGAGGUAGAGCACUGUUUGGACGAGGGGCCCCUCUCGGGUUACCGAAUUCAGACAAACUCCGAAUGCCAAUUAAUUUAACUUGGGAGUCAGAACAUGGGUGAUAAGGUCCGUGUUCGAAAGGGAAACAGCCCAGACCACCAGCUAAGGUCCCAAAAUAUAUGUUAAGUGGAAAAGGAUGUGGCGUUGCCCAGACAACUAGGAUGUUGGCUUAGAAGCAGCCAUCAUUUAAAGAGUGCGUAAUAGCUCACUAGUCGAGUGACACUGCGCCGAAAAUGUACCGGGGCUAAACAUAUUACCGAAGCUGUGGAUUGUCCUUUGGACAAUGGUAGGAGAGCGUUCUAAGGGCGUUGAAGCAUGAUCGUAAGGACAUGUGGAGCGCUUAGAAGUGAGAAUGCCGGUGUGAGUAGCGAAAGACGGGUGAGAAUCCCGUCCACCGAUUGACUAAGGUUUCCAGAGGAAGGCUCGUCCGCUCUGGGUUAGUCGGGUCCUAAGCUGAGGCCGACAGGCGUAGGCGAUGGAUAACAGGUUGAUAUUCCUGUACCACCUAUAAUCGUUUUAAUCGAUGGGGGGACGCAGUAGGAUAGGCGAAGCGUGCGAUUGGAUUGCACGUCUAAGCAGUAAGGCUGAGUAUUAGGCAAAUCCGGUACUCGUUAAGGCUGAGCUGUGAUGGGGAGAAGACAUUGNGUCUUCGAGUCGUUGAUUUCACACUGCCGAGAAAAGCCUCUAGAUAGAAAAUAGGUGCCCGUACCGCAAACCGACACAGGUAGUCAAGAUGAGAAUUCUAAGGUGAGCGAGCGAACUCUCGUUAAGGAACUCGGCAAAAUGACCCCGUAACUUCGGGAGAAGGGGUGCUCUUUAGGGUUAACGCCCAGAAGAGCCGCAGUGAAUAGGCCCAAGCGACUGUUUAUCAAAAACACAGGUCUCUGCUAAACCGUAAGGUGAUGUAUAGGGGCUGACGCCUGCCCGGUGCUGGAAGGUUAAGAGGAGUGGUUAGCUUCUGCGAAGCUACGAAUCGAAGCCCCAGUAAACGGCGGCCGUAACUAUAACGGUCCUAAGGUAGCGAAAUUCCUUGUCGGGUAAGUUCCGACCCGCACGAAAGGCGUAACGAUUUGGGCACUGUCUCAACGAGAGACUCGGUGAAAUCAUAGUACCUGUGAAGAUGCAGGUUACCCGCGACAGGACGGAAAGACCCCGUGGAGCUUUACUGUAGCCUGAUAUUGAAAUUCGGCACAGCUUGUACAGGAUAGGUAGGAGCCUUUGAAACGUGAGCGCUAGCUUACGUGGAGGCGCUGGUGGGAUACUACCCUAGCUGUGUUGGCUUUCUAACCCGCACCACUUAUCGUGGUGGGAGACAGUGUCAGGCGGGCAGUUUGACUGGGGCGGUCGCCUCCUAAAAGGUAACGGAGGCGCUCAAAGGUUCCCUCAGAAUGGUUGGAAAUCAUUCAUAGAGUGUAAAGGCAUAAGGGAGCUUGACUGCGAGACCUACAAGUCGAGCAGGGUCGAAAGACGGACUUAGUGAUCCGGUGGUUCCGCAUGGAAGGGCCAUCGCUCAACGGAUAAAAGCUACCCCGGGGAUAACAGGCUUAUCUCCCCCAAGAGUUCACAUCGACGGGGAGGUUUGGCACCUCGAUGUCGGCUCAUCGCAUCCUGGGGCUGUAGUCGGUCCCAAGGGUUGGGCUGUUCGCCCAUUAAAGCGGUACGCGAGCUGGGUUCAGAACGUCGUGAGACAGUUCGGUCCCUAUCCGUCGUGGGCGUAGGAAAUUUGAGAGGAGCUGUCCUUAGUACGAGAGGACCGGGAUGGACAUACCUCUGGUGUACCAGUUGUCGUGCCAACGGCAUAGCUGGGU
rnacentral:rRNA from 1 species